CCGGGCAAAAUCCGGUCGGACAGUUGUAUCCGUAGACGGAAGCGCGCAAUCCGACAUACGGAGAAGCGGGUCCUGCGCGAUGAAACACCGUGAACCAUGUCAGGCGGGGAACCGAGCAGCAUUAAGCGGAUGCGUUCAUGUGAUGCAGACAAGCCUUCUUCUUCGUAUGUCCGAUUGCGCGGUUUUGUUUACAGGGCUCAG
rnacentral:SRP_RNA from 1 species